CCUACGGGUGGCAGCAGUGAGGAAUAUUGGUCAAUGGCCGGAAGGCUGAACCAGCCAAGCCGCGUGAAGGACGAAGGUGCCAAGCAUUGUAAACUUCUUUUGUCAAGGGACAAAAUCAGGCUCGAGAGCCUGACCGAGGGUACUUGAAGAAAAAGCAUCGGCUAACUCCGUGCCAGCAGCCGCGGUAAUACGGAGGAUGCGAGCGUUAUCCGGAUUUAUUGGGUUUAAAGGGUGCGUAGGCGGGCUGUUAAGUCAGCGGUAAAAUCCCGGGGCUCAACCCCGGCCAGCCGUUGAAACUGGCUGACUUGAGAUGGCGAGAGGUAGGCGGAAUGCGCGGUGUAGCGGUGAAAUGCUUAGAUAUUGCGCAGAACUCCGAUUGCGAAGGCAGCAUACCGGCGGCGAACUGACGCUGAGGCACGAAAGCGUGGGGAUCGAACAGGAUUAGAUACCCUAGUAGUC
rnacentral:rRNA from 1 species